UUGUUGCACAUCAUACUUAGGGGCGUAAAAGGCUUGUUUGUGUUUUUCCCACAUAAAGACUCCUUUUUGGUAUUCUCUCUCUCUAUGUUCCACUUCUACUAAAAAAUCUCUCUAUGGACUGCAAAUAAGGUAUUGAACUUAAACAUAUCUCUUUCAAUCAAAUUCUCUAUUCUUGCUACGUUUUGAACAUCUUUGCAGUAAUUACAUCUGUUGCAGCUGGAAGUAGAAUUCAUAAAGACAAUGAUGAUGUCUUGUUCAAAGUCACCACUAGGUGAAAUUCUUGGCUACACUGCUAGUACUUUCACAAAACCUAUGAUGCCCACUUCAGACCUUAGGGGUCCUAUUAUGUGCAUUUGCUUAAGCAAUAUAAACCUUGGAGUCAUAGGCUUUGCUUGGUUUAAGUUUUGAGGGAGGUUUUUGGGGUAUUGAGUGGAGAUAGAUAGAUAAAGAAAUUAGAGUAAUAAUUGGAGAGAAAACUUAUUGGGGACCGUGCGUAGAGAGGGUUGAAUACCCAAAGCGAACACAGUCUAUAUAAUUAGAUCACAGUGGUAGCUAUGUACUUCCUUUGACAUUAGUAGCUAUGCAGUUCUUUGGAGAGUCGCUUGUGUUGGUCAAAGCCUCUCUCACUUUCUUAGACCCUUCAAGGUUCAAGUUUCAAAUCCUCUCGACGGAGGAAUGGUGUGACACCUUGUAAAACCUCAACUUUGGCCUCCAAGUCGCAAAUCUCUUAUUAUCUCGAGGGGGUCAUGGGUAGAUCAAAAAUCACAUAUAAAGCCGACCUAGGUCAGCUAUUGUGAGAGUGUCAGGGUGCCUUUUUGGAUGCCGCUUGGUGGAAGUUUUCUAGGCAGGCCAAGGAAGAUGGAGUAGAUGCCAAAGCAGGAUGCGGUUGCCUUUGAAAGGAGUGCGCCUUAGUCCCGGCGGUGGAGGGAGAACACAGUGUGGAGGACCCUUGACCGAGCCCAGAGCCAAUGGCGCACUAGGAUUGGAGGAGGUGAGAGUAGAGACAACUCAGCCGCUAGGAAGGAUGGUUGAGCUAUUGUCCAUGGUAGGUAAAGCACUUUGAUGACUUGAGAUAGCUAGAGGGGAACAGGUGAGAGCACAGAGAUCCUUGUGCGAGAGAGAGAAUGUAGUGGAGUCGUGGACUUUUGCUCGUCAAUGGGAUGAUUGAAGAGAAGUAUCCUUGGUGUGUGGGGAGGGGGUAUACUGGGGAGAGUAGUGACUCAACUAGUUGGUUUGAUAAUCUUGAGGUCUCUCACAGACCCAUUGCACUCGUCGAACCUUGGGAGUUGGGAGUCUUAUGAUGGUGGAGAGAGGGUGAAUUUACAGCACUGUAGCGGAUGGCAGUAGGUCUAUUCAGCUUGGAGAAACACUUUUCUUGGUUAAAAAUCCCUCUUUCUGAAAUUGUUCUAGGUACAAAGUUCUCAGUGUAUGGAGUGGCGACUAUCUUGAUGAACCCUUGUAAUGCCUUUAAGACACAUACCUCUUGCAAUCCCAAGCAGCCCACAGCUUUGGAGUCGUUCUAUGGCGGGAGGCACCUACAUAAUGUCUGUUACUCAGCCAUCUCAUGACCUACGCUAUUAUUGAAACACUAGGGUGCCCUUUAGAUACAUAAGAUUGGGACUGCUGUAGGUGCAGGCCUAUGAUACAUGGAUCUAUCAUUUUUUGCGGAGUACCCACGUCGAUACGACGUGACAUGGCUGCGGGAUAUGUGUCAAGGUGUGGCUACUUUUGUCGAAGAAUAGAGGAGCAAUCUAUGUAACACGGAUAGAGACACGGAUGCUGCAAGAAGUAAAUAAAUAAAUACUAUUUAUUUUAUACCAGUGGUAACAUAGUUAUAUGUAGAAGCAUAAAGCAUCAAUAUAUAUGAGCAUCGCAUAUACAUAAUAUACACAUCAUAUUAUACUUUUAACCCAAAAUAUUUGAAGUAAUACACAUUUACCCCCUGAAGUUAAUUUUUUUGCAUAUUU